GACGAACGCUGGCGGCGUGCUUAACACAUGCAAGUCGAACGGAAAGGCCCUGCUUUUGUGGGGUGCUCGAGUGGCGAACGGGUGAGUAACACGUGAGUAACCUGCCCUUGACUUUGGGAUAACUUCAGGAAACUGGGGCUAAUACCGGAUAGGAGCCCCUGCUGCAUGGUGGGGGUUGGAAAGUUUCGGCGGUUGGGGAUGGACUCGCGGCUUAUCAGCUUGUUGGUGGGGUAGUGGCUUACCAAGGCUUUGACGGGUAGCCGGCCUGAGAGGGUGACCGGCCACAUUGGGACUGAGAUACGGCCCAGACUCCUACGGGAGGCAGCAGUGGGGAAUAUUGCACAAUGGGCGGAAGCCUGAUGCAGCAACGCCGCGUGCGGGAUGACGGCAUUCGGGUUGUAAACCGCUUUCGCCUGUGACGAAGCGUGAGUGACGGUAAUGGGUAAAGAAGCACCGGCUAACUACGUG
rnacentral:rRNA from 1 species